rnacentral:rRNA from 1 species
UACGGGGGGGGCAAGCGUUGUUCGGAAUUACUGGGGGUAAAGGGCUCGUAGGCGGCCAACUAAGUCAGACGUGAAAUCCCUCGGCUUAACCGGGGAACUGCGUCUGAUACUGGAUGGCUUGAAUCCGGGAGAGGGAUGCGGAAUUCCAGGUGUAGCGGUGAAAUUCGUAGAUAUCGGGAGAAACACCGGUGGCGAAGGCGGCGACCUGGGUCGAGACUGACGCUGAGGCGCGAAAGCGUGGGGAGCAACAGG